rnacentral:rRNA from 1 species
CAGUCGCCGCGGUAAUACGAGGGGGGCAAGCGUUAAUCGGAAUUACUGGGCGUAAAGCGUGCGUAGGCGGUUUGUUAAGUCUGCUGUGAAAUCCCCGGGCUCAACCUGGGAAUGGCAGUGGAUACUGGCAAGCUAGAGUGUGUCAGAGGAUGGUGGAAUUCCCGGUGUAGCGGUGAAAUGCGUAGAGAUCGGGAGGAACAUCAGUGGCGAAGGCGGCCAUCUGGGACAACACUGACGCUGAGGCACGAAAGCGUGGGGAGCAAACAGGAUUAGAUACCCCGGUAGUCCCUGUCUCUUAUAC